rnacentral:tRNA from 1 species
GGGCUUGUAGCUCAAUGGGGAGAGCGCCUGCCUUGCAAGCAGGAGGUAGUCGGUUCGAACCCGACCAGGUCCAC